rnacentral:rRNA from 1 species
AACGGCCAUACCAUGCUGAAUAUGCCGGUUCUCGUUAGAUCACCGAAGUCAAGCAUCAUUGGGCGCGGUCAGUACUUGGGUGGGGGACCACCUGGGAACACCGCGUGCCGUU